rnacentral:misc_RNA from 1 species
GAUGAAGAACGCAGCGAAAUGCGAUACGUAAUGUGAAUUGCAAAUUCAGUGAAUCAUCGAGUCUUUGAACGCACAUUGCGCCCCCUGGUAUUCCGGGGGGCAUGCCUGUCCGAGCGUCAUUGCUGCCCUCAAGCACGGCUUGUGUGUUGGGCCCCGUCCUCCGAUCCCGGGGGACGGGCCCGAAAGGCAGCGGCGGCACCGCGUCCGGUCCUCGAGCGUAUGGGGCUUUGUCACCCGCUCUGUAGGCCCGGCCGGCGCUUGCCGAUCAACCCAAAUUUUUAUCCAGGUUGACCUCGGAUCAGGUAGGGAUACCCGCUGAACUUAAGCAUAUCAACAAGCGGAGGA